ACCUAAACCCUUUUUUUUUUCUCCCUCUUUUCCCUUUCCUCUUUCCUUUCUUCUGAGUUCAGAUCUUGCGGCUCACCACCUCCCUAAAUUCUCACCACCGCCGUCAGCACCUCCCUCACCACCUUGCGGCUCCCUCACCACCUUGUGCGAAGACCUCCAUUGCGUCAGACCUUGCGGCUCCCUUGUGCGUGCUCCCUCACCAACACCUCCGUCAUUUUCACUCUCUCAUACAACACUCAAAGGUUUGAAGAGUUGAAGCUGACAUGUUAUUGAAGGCCUUGAAGCUACUGCCAUCAUGUUGGACCUGUUGCAAUGUUGUUGAAGCUUCCGUGUUGAAUUUAUUAGUAUAAUGAGGACUUUUAUUGCAUUUUUAAGACUUUUGUUAUGUCGGAAAUUUUAUUCUAAUGGCUGGACUCUUUUUUUUUAUUAUGCUAUCUCCUAAAUUUGGCAAAUAUUACGCCUUAAGACUUUUUAUGGACUGCUAACUUAUUGUUGUGUUGUAAUUCAUAAAAUUAUUAAGCUUUUCCUUUAAAAAUUUA